GACAGAGGAUGCAAGCGUUAUCCGGAAUGAUUGGGCGUAAAGGGCUCGUAGGCGGAUCGGCGGGUCUGGCGUGAAAUCUCCACUGCUCAACAGGGAGAGGCCGCUGGAAACUACCGAUCUUGAGUGUGGUAGAGGACCGUGGAAUUCCGCGUGUAGCGGUGGAAUGCGUAGAUAUGCGGAAGAACACCGGUGGCGAAGGCGGCGGUCUGGGCCACAACUGACGCUGAGGAGCGAAAGCCAGGGGAGCAAACGGG
rnacentral:rRNA from 1 species